rnacentral:rRNA from 1 species
AUACGUAGGGGGCGAGCGUUGUCCGGAAUGAUUGGGCGUAAAGGGCGCGUAGGCGGCGCGGUAAGUCUGGAGUGAAAGUCCUGCUUUCAAGGUGGGAAUUGCUUUGGAUACUGCCGCGCUUGAGUGCAGGAGAGGUUAUCGGAAUUCCCGGUGUAGCGGUGAAAUGCGUAGAGAUCGGGAGGAACACCAGUGGCGAAGGCGGGUAACUGGACUGCAACUGACGCUGAGGCGCGAAAGUGUGGGGAGCAAACAGGAUUAGAUACCCUGGUAGUCCACACCGUAAACGAUGAAUGCUAGGUGUAAGAGGUAUCGACCCCUUUUGUGCCGGAGUCAACACAAUAAGCAUUCCGCCUGGGGAGUACGGCCGCAAGGUUGAAACUCAAAGGAAUUGACGGGG